AUACGGAGGAUCCAAGCGUUAUCCGGAUUUAUUGGGUUUAAAGGGUGCGUAGGCGGACUGGUAAGUCAGCUGUGAAAGUUUGCGGCUUAACCGUGAAAUUGCAGUUGAUACUGUCAGUCUUGAGUGUGCAUGAGGUGGGCGGAAUUUGUGGUGUAGCGGUGAAAUGCUUAGAUAUCACGAGGAACUCCAAUUGCGAAGGCAGCUCACUGGGGCAUAACUGACGCUGAUGCACGAAGGUGUGGGUAUCAAACAGGAUUAGAUACCCUGGUAGCCCACACAGUAAACUAUGGAUACUCGCUGUUUGCGAUAUACAGUAAGCGGCCAAGCGAAAGCAUUAAGUAUUCCACCUGGGGAGUACGCCGGCAACGGUGAAACUCAAAUGAAUUGGCGGGG
rnacentral:rRNA from 1 species